GCAGCAAUGGCCUCUUGGUUCCACAAUGCCCUGCUGCUUCACACUGGCCCCUUGGGACCGUGUGGCCCAGCAGUGCCACAGUGAUGUCCUUGGUGCCACGAGGCCAUACAGUGUCACAGUGAUUCCUUGGAUCCAUGCUACCCCAAAGUGUCACAACGGCCCCUUGGUUCCAUGAAGAUCCAGAAGUGUCACAAUGGUCUCCAUGGUUCCACGUGGUCCUCACAGUGUCACAGUGGUCUCCAUAGGCAGGAAACAACCAAGCCCCAGUGUUGCAGGGGCCGAUGAGGGGCAGUCACCAGAGGCAAAGGGCAGCCAGAUUAGAUGGUACUGGCAGAUUUUGUCUGGGAGCAAUCUUGGAUAUACAGAAUUUUAGAGGCAGAAUAACAAUUUUGGACAUGGAUGACAGAAGCAGAAACACAGAUCUUUUCCAUAGGCAGGAAAGCAAGAGUUCCAAGGGCAGUUGAAAAGCAACUAUCAGAGGGCAAGGAAGGAAAGCACAGAGGCCAAGUGUUUCAAAGGCAGAUGAGAGGUGGCUCGCAGGAGCUCAAGCAAGACAGACUUGUUUAUCCUGGCAGCUGCUUUUACAGAGGGAUCCUUGGAUAUAUUUUGGGAGGAGGAAUCUCACUUUUGACCACAGACAUGUUGACAAGCAUGACGGUUCCUUUCCAUUGGAAGGAAAGCACUGUGCCCCGGUGUUUCAAAGACAGGUGAGAGGCAGCCCCUAAGAGGCCAAGGGCUCCCAGACCUGUCUGUCCUGGCAGCUUGAACUUGGGAGCAAUCCUUGGAUGAAUAGAAUCCCAGUUUCAGCCAUGGGCUCCUGGUGGAAAUAGAUGGUUUUUCCAUAAGAAAUAAAAGUGCGAAAUCCAAGUGGUUUGGAAGAAGAUGAGAGGGGGCCAAACCUGCAGCUGUGGAUGUCCAAAAGCCCCUUUUCAGGGCAGCCUCGUUGAGCCCGAUGGCACCCGAGCUGCAGUGGUGAGGGUACACUCUCCACUCUGGUGUGACAGAGAGUGCACACUUUCUAGGACCCUUGGUAGCUACAGCAGAAGCGAGGAAAAAGGCGGACACUGUCUUCUGGGAUAACCGGGUUUAUUGAGGAUCAGGGAGAUGGAAGGUCGAGGGGAACCAGAAGGCAGAGACACAGUUAACAGGGUGACAGCAACUUAUAAAGCAAGGUGGGUACAAAGGUGGAGCCAGGUCUCUAACCAAUAGAGGACCAGGGGGUAGUGCAUAAAGGGAUACAGCCAACCUAACUGAACCCAUCCCAGGUGUCCUGGGGAGGGGCCCCGGCCCCUGAACCAAUCACUCGACGCCCUAGAGAGAAGCUUCUCAAUGAAAGGGUCAGGUCGCAGAGUGAUGGGCAGGGCACUGAGGAGGGAUAGAACAAAAGGAUACAAUGCAACCGGGGAGGAGAUAGGGAAACUGACAGGGGUUCAAGGGACGAGGCAACGGGGCAGAGCCACUCUUAACAUAAGGGGAGAAUGGAAUAUACCAACUUACAAAGUGCAACUUAUUCAACUGCAACUGAUUGAGGACACAACCCAACAGGCCACCAUAGGCAAAGCCAGCCAGACCUGUCUUUCCUGGCACCUUUCAUCUGGGAGAAAUCCUUGGAUAUAGGGAAUUUUGGAGGUGGAAUAUCAGUUUUGGCCACAGGCACCUGGACCGGAAGAAGAGUUCUUUUUAUUAGGCAGGAAAGCACAUGGUCCUGGUGUUUCAAAGGCAGAUGUGAGGUUGCCCCUGGGUGGCCAAGCCAGCCAGAUCUGUCUGUCCUGCCAGAUUUCAUCUGGGAACAAUUCUUGGAUAAACAAACAUUUGGAGGAGGAAACCCAGUUUUGGCCAUGGGCACCUGGAGGAGAAGGACAGCUCUUUCCCGCAGGAAGGAAAGCACAGAGCCCCGCUGCUCCAGGGGCAGAUGAGCAGCAGCCCUUGGCAUGCCAAGGUCAGCUGGACCUAUCAGGUGGUUCCCAGGAGGCCAAACCAGCCAGACCUGUGCCAUGUCCCCUUGGUUCCAUGGGGCCCCGUGUUUCACAAUGGUCUCCUUGAGUCCAUGAGGCACCUCAGUGUCACCAUGGCCUCUUGGUUCCAGGAGGUUCUGUGCUGUCAGCAAUGUCUCCUUGUUUCUGCAGUGUCACAAUGGCUGCAUGAAGGGCUUAGGGUUUAAAAAACAGAGCACGAGCUCAGCCCAUGGUCUGGACCCUCCUUCUCCUGGGGUUUGUGUCUCACCCACACUGGAACCCAAGCAGUUGGUAGCUGAAUAUGUGUCUUUCAGUAGAUCUUCUGUCUUUCGGUCAUUCCGUGUUUCUUCUUCUGCUUAUCCUCUUUACCUGGAACAUUUUUGGAUAAUUUAACAUCUUUAUGGUUAUUUGGUUUCCAGGUUAAAUGGAGUUAAUGGAGUUACUGCUAUAAGUGUUUCAUGUUGAAUUGGAUGUUGUAUUAAACCCUUUACCAAAGUUGCUUGA